rnacentral:rRNA from 1 species
UACGUAGGGUGCAAGCGUUAAUCGGAAUUACUGGGCGUAAAGCGUGCGCAGGCGGUUUUGUAAGUCUGUUGUGAAAUCCCCGGGCUUAACCUGGGAAUGGCAAUGGAGACUGCAAGGCUAGAGUUUGGCAGAGGGGGGUAGAAUUCCACGUGUAGCAGUGAAAUGCGUAGAUAUGUGGAGGAACACCGAUGGCGAAGGCAGCCCCCUGGGUCAAAACUGACGCUCAUGCACGAAAGCGUGGGGAGCAAACAGG